UAAGUGCCAGUCUUUGUAAGAAUCAGGCAAUUUAGGUAAAAAUUAAAACAUGAUUAGAAAAAACCCACCGAGCUAAUCAUGCUAUUUAAUACUAACCAUCAUCCUGAGUUAAAAAUAAUUGGUCUUUUGUUUGCGUGUGUUUGGUAAUAUCAAAUAACUUGGUUAGAAAAUUGGUUAGAAUGAUAGCAAAUUACAGAGUUAUCUCCCCUUUUUGUUAAUUUCUAGUGCAUUUCAACCAAAUUGUAUCUUCUUUUACCAGAACAGAAAAUG
rnacentral:lncRNA from 1 species